rnacentral:rRNA from 1 species
AUUGAACGCUGGCGGCAGGCCUAACACAUGCAAGUCGAGCGAGCGGCGGACGGGUGAGUAAUGUAUGGGGACCUGCCCGAUAGAGGGGGAUAACUACUGGAAACGGUGGCUAAUACCGCAUACCAUCGGAUGUACCCAUAUGGGAUUAGCUAGUAGGUGGGGUAAAGGCUCACCUAGGCGACGAUCCCUAGCUGGUCUGAGAGGAUGACCAGCCACACUGGAACUGAGACACGGCCCAGACUCCUACGGGAGGCAGCAGUGGGGAAUAUUGCACAAUGGGCGCAAGCCUGAUGCAGCCAUGCCGCGUGUAUGAAGAAGGCCUUAGGGUUGUAAAGUACUUUCAGCGGGGAGGCGUUACCCGCAGAAGAAGCACCGGCUAACUCCGUGCCAGCAGCCGCGGUAAUUC